rnacentral:lncRNA from 1 species
CCCAUAACGGAGCUUUAAUUUCAGUAUUAUGGCUUGUGGAUCUUGAACCCAAAUACUCUUGGAACAUAGCUUUGAGAUGCUUUUAGUGGCUUCAGGUGCCCAUACGUCAUCAGGAACAGGUGAGGAAAUGUCGUACCAAAAUAGGCUCCGUCAAUGUCUAGAUAGAAUUAAGGUUUCGUAUUACCAAUACAAAGCAAAACAACCAAGGCAGAAGUGUUGGAAAUAUAAACAUCAACCAUAUGACAAUAUAUCAGGACAUUCCUAUGACCUAUACCAAGACGUAUCAGCUGAUAGCCACCUGAUAAAUUUACUACAGGCUGAAUUUGUUCCAAUAGAUUCUCUAUCCUUAUUAUGCCUCAUAUUUCCAUGGGACAAGUAAAGUUCACAUAAACCAUAUCACUGAGCUUUAUUAAAAUAUCUCAGACAGCAAUUUUGAUAUCCAAAAUUUUUUAUUUAAAUUAAAUAUAUCAGUUAUAUCUAGUUAUCAUUUUUCUUUUCUUUUUUCUCAAAGAAAAGUGAAAUCUUAAGUUAUCCUUUCAAAUACCUGGCCAAAAGUUAAUAUUCUCUGGCCCAGAAACAAAUUAUUCCUAGGAAGUUUGCAAGAACUCUGGAUGUACCAAAAGAAUUGCAAUAACUUUACGUUCACCCACAAAAAAAAAAGGCCAUUCAAAAAUAACUUUUUUUUUCAAAGACCUUGCAACCAUUUCCUAAACGUCAAAAAUAAUUAGAUGAAUAUCAUAAAUGCAAAAAAGUGGCAGAAAGGAAAGCUAUUCAUGACAUGCAUGUUAUCUCCCCACACAAUGCAUGCAACAAGAAGUAUCAAAUCAAUGGCAAAAAGGAUACUGCCUUGAUAUUUGGACCGAGGGUAGUAGAUAUCUUCACAUCUAGGGCAGUAUAUUUUUACGGUGCUUGACCGAGGGAUAUCUGAUUGACCAACUGGAAGACACGGUUGUCCACAGCAGUAAACUCUAGGGCAUCUUCCAAAAUCGUAGUUCUU